UCGGACGUGGUGCAUGGUGCACGCCCUCCAGCCCUAUGUUGGACCCGCCAGUAGGAAUAAGUUGGAGGGAAGCCGGGGUUCGAUUCCCUGUGUCCGAG